rnacentral:tRNA from 2 species
GCUCGAAUGGUGGAAUUGGUAGACACGAAGGACUUAAAAUCCUUUGACUAUUGCAGUCGUGGGGGUUCAAGUCCCCCUUCGAGUACCA